CAGCAGCUGAUCAAAGGCUGGAGCCUACAAUCACAAACUGAAGUGGUACAGUCGCCUGAAACAGCUGAGAUGAAAGAUCCGAGCUGCAGGCAGCAGGAAGUCGACAAGAAGCCAGCCAUCAUCAGCAGUUCAACGACAAUAAGGCGCCGUUAAGUACUGUACAUACUGUACACGUGGCGGAGUCGUUUCCACCGCGUGGAGCGCUUUCACGUCGGGCCGUCAGACCCUCGUACCUGUCUGGGAGUCACCACGGGCGCUAAGUGGGGCUGGAAGGUGCUGCGUCGGUCCGUGAUGGCGUCCCCGUGUUUUAUUGGAGGCACCUCCUCGUCUGCAAGACCAAACGCUGCAGGUGAGUGAUGUCUGUUUCGUCCAGUCCGAAUCCACUGCAACAUCAUCUACCGGCCUGAACCGUGGUACCGUGUGAGGGAUCCAUGAGGAGCUGAGCGAGUUCUGCGUCCAGCCCGAGCGUCCUGAAGUCGGGUGCGUCUUCAUCGUGGUCUUCCUCCUCCGUCGUCAUGUUCACCAUCUCUGGCUGAGCCGCUGAAACAGAUCGCGUUGUGUCACAGCCUGAAGGGGCCCAAUUCAGAACAUGGUCCGCUGUGUUCUGCCUUAUACACUAUGAGCCUGUGUGGAUUUAUGGAUGCCUCAGCAAAUAGUAAUAGAAAUGUUACAGAACUUUUAUUUUUAUUGAGAUAAAAUUCAACAACAAGGCUGACUUGUCAGGCAUUUGCCGGCGACCUUUACUCUCUAAUCUAAUCCCCCGCAGUUCUUCUUGAGAGUGUUGAUAAAGUGCUCGCAAUUUUUUUGCACCGUGACGAGCCAAGGUCUAUCUUCACUUGCACAACAGAGGCUUUCACCUGUUAAACAGAUCAUCGUCCGAUCAAUCAAGCACAACAAAAGGGACUUUGGUACCGGAACACAUUUCAGUCCUCAACUUUUUCAAAUGUGUUACAGGAGUCAAUUUUAAUUGUGGAGUACUUUUAUUGAUGGACAGACUAGAGACAACGCUGCUACUUUGCCAUUUUGCUGUCAAGCUGAACUGCGUUUGGUCCUCCAGACUAUUUAUAGGGCGUUAGAGGAGACCAGCUUUUACAAUAAAUUAAGAGAGAGGCAGCAGAAGUUGGCUAAAUCCUUGUUUUGUGUGACUUUCUUCCACUUCCCCAGUUGAUUCCCUUUACGCUGGAUAUUUAUACACUUAUCUGAGUUUUCUUCUGUUAUUACCUUUCGCUCAAAGAAGUGAGAUUAAGGACCUGCAGUGAAGGCUUUGCCCACCCAGCUGACAUAAAAGCCUCCCUAUCUCGCCGGUAAAGGUUGCUGUGCGCCGCCUGACAGGAAUACCUACACACCGGAGGACGCGGGAAUAAGGAAACAUUCUUUUAGACGUGUCAGGCGGUAAAACAUACUUUGAAUAAAAGAGAAAAAGAGUAAAUUAAAUGAAAUUAGGGAUUAAUGCAUUGAGAGAACCAGCUAUAUUGUGCUUUAUAAAAAAAUGCUUUGCUCAUUUUUAUGCUUUAAUGUUCUUCAUACUAAGUAGGUUUUCACUUUACAGGAACAGGAACUAAAGUUAAACUGACACAGAACUGUUGGCUGUGUAUGUAUAUUCACACACUAGGUGCUAACGUCCAUUAAAAGAACGCAGCCUUAUUCAUGCAGACUUCAUCAUUCUCCCCAUUAUUUCUCUAUGCUUUUCAUGUCCCUGCGUCCGUGUUUACUCCCUUUUCAUUUCCUUUUGUGUGGAUUACAGUAUGCAUCUUCAGCCUUAUCAUUUCUCCCCCUCUCCACCGCGUCUCGGCCAUUUGAAUGGGAAUAUGCUGUCGAUCCCGCUCCUGUGAGCUAAAGUGCUGUGACCAGUUAUACUUAUUACCACAUGAAUUGGAGAGACAGGAUGAUUUAUGCCAAACCACAAUGGGCAAAGACAGCUAAUAUUUCUCGAGCCUGUUCCUUCUGCCUGAGCGGUAGAUACUGCUGGUAGAUAGGCUGAGACCAACUGGACACCCCCCCCCAACCGACCCCCUUUCCCCCGAUUCAUGCUGACACUUCUGAAACUCUGGCAUGACAACUUUGUUUGGAGGAAAUUUGUUGACGAGCAGUUCGAUUUAUCGG